UACGUAGGGUGCGAGCGUUGUCCGGAAUUAUUGGGCGUAAAGGGCUCGUAGGCGGUUUGUCACGUCGGGAGUGAAAACUCGGGGCUUAACCCCGAGCCUGCUUCCGAUACGGGCUGACUAGAGGUAUGCAGGGGAGAACGGAAUUCCUGGUGUAGCGGUGAAAUGCGCAGAUAUCAGGAGGAACACCGGUGGCGAAGGCGGGUCUCUGGACAGUUCCUGACACUGAGGCACGAAGGCCAGGGGAGCAAACGGG
rnacentral:rRNA from 1 species